UACGUAGGGGGGCUAGCGUUGUCCGGAAUCAUUGGGCGUAAAGCGCGUGUAGGCGGUUCGGUAAGUCCGCUGUGAAAGUCGGGGGCUCAACCCUCGGAUGCCGGUGGAUACUGUCGGACUAGAGUACGGAAGAGGCGAGUGGAAUUCCUGGUGUAGCGGUGAAAUGCGCAGAUAUCAGGAGGAACACCGAUUGCGAAGGCAGCUCGCUGGGACGUUACUGACGCUGAGACGCGAAAGCGUGGGGAGCAAACAGG
rnacentral:rRNA from 1 species